rnacentral:ribozyme from 14 species
CUUGUUCUACAGUAUUUACAUAUUCUUUUUUUUUGUCUUGUUUUUCCUUCUUUGUUUAAUAUUCGUAAAAAUAAAAAAUAAAAAGGUUUUG